ACGGAGGGUGCAAGCGUUGUUCGGAAUCACUGGGCGUAAAGGGCGCGUAGGCGGUUUGAUAAGUCAGAUGUGAAAGCCCACGGCUUAACUGUGGAAGUGCAUUUGAAACUGUCAGACUUGAGUAUCAGAGGGGAAAGUGGAAUUCCCGGUGUAGAGGUGAAAUGCGUAGAUAGCGGGAGGAAUACCGGUGGCGAAGGCGAACUUAUGGCUUAAUACUGACGCUUAGGCGCGAGAGCGUGGGGAGCAAAAAG
rnacentral:rRNA from 1 species